UGGAAAGAAGAGGCAUGAAAGUCAGUUGUAGUAAGACAAUACGUGUGUCUAAGAAGGUGCAGGAGUUUAUCAGUUCAGUGUGAGUGUGGAACUGAGGUGGAGGUGAGUGCAGGCGGGUGGAGGAAAGUGACUGGAGUGUUGUGUGACAGAAGAGUGUCAGCGAGACUCAAAGGAAAGGCAAUGAGAGAGCAGCUCUGCUCUAUGGGUGAGAGACGGUAGCAGUGAGGAAGAGGUGGAGGCAGCAGAGAUGAAGAUGCUGAGGUUCUCCUGAUAGAGACGAGGUUGGACAGAAUCAGGAACCAGCUCAUCAGAGGAACGUCUGCAGCAACAAAGUCAGAGGCCAGACUGAGGUGGUUUGGACGUGUGCAGAGGAGGGAGAGGGAAUAUGUUGGUAGAAGGAUGUUGGAGAUGGAGCUGCCAGACAAGAGGGCAACCAAGGAGGAGAUGGAAUGUGGAAGAUGCCCUGGAUAAAGUAAAAAUGAGGAUGAUUCACUGCGGAGAACAGCUGAAAGGCCGAAAAUAGAAUGUUCAACCAGACACAUGAUGACAUAUUACAGUUAGUGACUUUACUGAAGUUCUUUGGCUUAUGAAUAAAAAUCCUUUGUUUGUCCUGCAAUGGGGAAAUUGUCAAUGACCUGUGAGUGCGUAGAACUGAAUCAGCGCUUGUUGUUUUGGGCAGAGACUGAGCCUCUCAUUCUGGGGGCUUGUGCUCGUCGCGUCUCCGUCCUCCCUCCUCCCGCUCCGUGUGGAGGCCAUUAACCCACGCUGGCUGCAGUAUAUAACGCUCUGCCGGUUUCACAACAGCGUCUUCCUCGUCACCGUCAGACAUGGACAAGCGUUUUCUGCUGGCGCUGAUGUGUCUGCAGGUCCUCCUGCUCGUCACGGCCUCGGCCGCUGCUGCUGCUGCUGCUGCGCUGGAAGGAGACGACCUGCAGCCGCAGUCCCAACCGAAAGCGUCACACAAUGCAAGACGCAGGUCCCAGAUUCCACGUACUGGGUAUCGACCAGGAAGCAUGUCGGUCAUCAUUGUCCACAGGAAGAAAUAACUGCUUCUGUCUGGAAGUCGAAGCAACGCCGCAGAACCGAGGACUUUACGCUUCGUCUUCCUGCAGGUUCUCUGUGUAUCAGACUUUACUGUUUGCAUGACAUGCGUUGUGUACCACAGUACAAGCAGUACUACAGUAGUACUGUAUAAUUAACUGCUGCUAUAACGCAAUAUUACACACGAUGCAAGUUCUUACUUCAUAAUAACCAGCAGAAAAACUGAAAACGUGCAGUAACCACAUAUUUUCAGUAUUAUAAUAAAAUGUUUUUACUCAUAAA